GAUGAACGCUAGCGGCAGGCCUAACACAUGCAAGUCGAGGGGUAACAUUGGUGCUUGCACCAGAUGACGACCGGCGCACGGGUGCGGAACGCGUAUGGAACCUACCUUUGUCAGGGGAAUAGCCCAGAGAAAUUUGGAUUAAUGCCCCAUGGUAACAUUGGAUUGCAUGAUUUGAUGUUUAAAGAUUUAUCGGACGAAGAUGGCCAUGCGUACCAUUAGCUGGUUGGUAAGGUAACGGCUUACCAAGGCAACGAUGGUUAGGGGCCCUGAGAGGGGGAUCCCCCACACUGGUACUGAGACACGGACCAGACUCCUACGGGAGGCAGCAGUGAGGAAUAUUGGACAAUGGAGGAGACUCUGAUCCAGCCAUGCCGCGUGCAGGAUGACGGCCCUAUGGGUUGUAAACUGCUUUUAUACGGGAAGAAAAAAGGGUACGUGUACCCUACUGACGGUACCGUAAGAAUAAGGACCGGCUAACUCCG
rnacentral:rRNA from 1 species